UCACAGAUGAAGUACUUCUUGGGACCUUAGGAAGAGAAGGUCGUAAUUGUUUUGGUAUUCUUGACAUCUGAGAUGUAGAAGCAGAUGAGUUUUGUACUUUCUUCUGUGUAUAUCUAAGUCAAGGCUAACAGCGUAUGUAGUAAUGAAUGAAUACUUAAACUUGUGAAAACAUAUGGACAACAAAGUCAGCCCUACUGUUAUCAAGGGAAAAAACUUUAAGGCCUGCUCAAUCCUGCCUAAAACUUCAUUAGGAUAUAUAGAUCCAGCUGGUACUCUUGGUGUACAUAUUUGGAUGAUUCUUGCAGAGCUUCUGUUUUGUGUUCCCUGCAAUUGGUUGGUCAGAAAACAGUA
rnacentral:lncRNA from 1 species